GAGCUUUCUGUACUUGCUGUCGUAGAAUGU
rnacentral:piRNA from 1 species